rnacentral:rRNA from 1 species
AAGAGUUUGAUCAUGGCUCAGAUUGAACGCUGGCGGCAGGCCUAACACAUGCAAGUCGAACGGUAACAGGAAGAAGCUUGCUUCUUUGCUGACGAGUGGCGGACGGGGGAGUAAUGUCUGGGAAACUGCCUGAUGGAGGGGGAUAACUACUGGAAACGGUAGCUAAUACCGCAUAACGUCGCAAGACCAAAGAGGGGGACCUUCGGGCCUCUUGCCAUCGGAUGUGCCCAGAUGGGAUUAGCUUGUUGGUGGGGUAACGGCUCACCAAGGCGACGAUCCCUAGCUGGUCUGAGAGGAUGACCAGCCACACUGGAACUGAGACACGGUCCAGACUCCUACGGGAGGCAGCAGUGGGGAAUAUUGCACAAUGGGCGCAAGCCUGAUGCAGCCAUGCCGCGUGUAUGAAGAAGGCCUUCGGGUUGUAAAGUACUUUCAGCGGGGAGGAAGGGAGUAAAGUUAAUACCUUUGCUCAUUGACGUUACCCGCAGAAGAAGCACCGGCUAACUCCGUGCCAGCAGCCGCGGUAAUACGGAGGGUGCAAGCGUUAAUCGGAAUUACUGGGCGUAAAGCGCACGCAGGCGGUUUGUUAAGUCAGAUGUGAAAUCCCCGGGCUCAACCUGGGAACUGCAUCUGAUACUGGCAAGCUUGAGUCUCGUAGAGGGGGGUAGAAUUCCAGGUGUAGCGGUGAAAUGCGUAGAGAUCUGGAGGAAUACCGGUGGCGAAGGCGGCCCCCUGGACGAAGACUGACGCUCAGGUGCGAAAGCGUGGGGAGCAAACAGGAUUAGAUACCCUGGUAGUCCACGCCGUAAACGAUGUCGACUUGGAGGUUGUGCCCUUGAGGCGUGGCUUCCGGAGCUAACGCGUUAAGUCGACCGCCUGGGGAGUACGGCCGCAAGGUUAAAACUCAAAUGAAUUGACGGGGGCCCGCACAAGCGGUGGAGCAUGUGGUUUAAUUCGAUGCAACGCGAAGAACCUUACCUGGUCUUGACAUCCACAGAACUUUCAGAGAUGAUUGGUGCCUUCGGGAACUGUGAGACAGGUGCUGCAUGGCUGUCGUCAGCUCGUGUUGUGAAAUGUUGGGUUAAGUCCCGCAACGAGCGCAACCCUUAUCCUUUGUUGCCAGCGGUCCGGCCGGGAACUCAAAGGAGACUGCCAGUGAUAAACUGGAGGAAGGUGGGGAUGACGUCAAGUCAUCAUGGCCCUUACGACCAGGGCUACACACGUGCUACAAUGGCGCAUACAAAGAGAAGCGACCUCGCGAGAGCAAGCGGACCUCAUAAAGUGCGUCGUAGUCCGGAUUGGAGUCUGCAACUCGACUCCAUGAAGUCGGAAUCGCUAGUAAUCGUGGAUCAGAAUGCCACGGUGAAUACGUUCCCGGGCCUUGUACACACCGCCCGUCACACCAUGGGAGUGGGUUGCAAAAGAAGUAGGUAGCUUAACCUUAGGGAGGGCGCUUACCACUUUGUGAUUCAUGACUGGGGUGAAGUCGUAACAAGGUAACCGUAGGGGAACC